rnacentral:rRNA from 1 species
AACUCCAUGUGUAGCGGUGGAAUGCGUAGAUAUAUGGAAGAACACCAGUGGCGAAGGCGGCUGUCUAGUCUGUAACUGACGCUGAGGCUCGAAAGCAUGGGUAGCGAACAGGAUUAGAUACCCUGGUAGUCCAUGCCGUAAACGAUGAGUGCUAAGUGUUGGAGGGUUUCCCCCUUCAGUGCUGCAGCUAACGCAUUAAGCACUCCGCCUGGGGAGUACGACCGCAAGGUUGAAACUCAAAGGAGUUGACGGGGGCCCGCACAAGCGGUGGAGCAUGUGGUUUAAUUCGAAGCUACGCGAAGAACCUUACCAGGUCUUGACAUCUUCUGCCAAUCUUAGAGAUAAGACGUUCCCUUCGGGGACAGAAUGACAGGUGGUGCAUGGUUGUCGUCAGCUCGUGUCGUGAGAUGUUGGGUUAAGUCCCGCAACGAGCGCAACCCUUAUUAUCAGUUGCCAGCAUUCAGUUGGGCACUCUGGUGAGACUGCCGGUGACAAACCGGAGGAAGGUGGGGAUGACGUCAAAUCAUCAUGCCCCUUAUGACCUGGGCUACACACGUGCUACAAUGGACGGUACAACGAGUCGCGAAGUCGUGAGGCUAAGCUAAUCUCUUAAAGCCGUUCUCAGUUCGGAUUGUAGGCUGCAACUCGCCUACAUGAAGUUGGAAUCGCUAGUAAUCGCGGAUCAGCAUGCCGCGGUGAAUACGUUCCCGGGCCUUGUACACACCGCCCGUCACACCAUGAGAGUUUGUAACACCCAAAGCCGGUGAGAUAACCUUCGGGAGUCAGCCGUCUAAGGUGGGACAGAUGAUUAGGGUGAAGUCGUAACAAGGUAACCAAGGGCGAAUC